CGUUAGGAAGCUAAAUAGGGCAAAGCAUUAGCCUUUUAAGCUAAAAACUGGUGGCCCCCAACCACCCUUAACGA
rnacentral:tRNA from 1 species